rnacentral:rRNA from 1 species
AUUGAACGCUGGCGGCAGGCCUAACACAUGCAAGUCGAGCGGAUGAAGGGAGCUUGCUCCUGGAUUCAGCGGCGGACGGGUGAGUAAUGCCUAGGAAUCUGCCUGGUAGUGGGGGAUAACGUCCGGAAACGGGCGCUAAUACCACAUACGUCCUGAGGGAGAAAGUGGGGGAUCUUCGGACCUCACGCUAUCAGAUGAGCCUAGGUCGGAGUAGCUAGUUGGUGGGGUAAAGGCCUACCAAGGCGACGAUCCGUAACUGGUCUGAGAGGAUGAUCAGUCACACUAGAACUGAGACAGGGUCCAGACUCCUACGGGAGGCAGCAGUGGGGAAUAUUGGACAAUGGGCGAAAGCCUGAUCCAGCCAUGCCGCGUGUGUGAAGAAGGUCUUCGGAUUGUAAAGCACUUUAAGUUGGGAGGAAGGGCAGUAAGUUAAUACCUUGCUGUUUUGACGUUACCAACAGAAGAAGCACCGGCUAACUUCGUG